CAGCCGCCGCGGGAAUACGUAGGUGGCAAGCGUUGUCCGGAAUUAUUGGGCAUAAAGGGCUCGCAGGCGGUUUCUUAAGUCUGAUGUGAAAGCCCCCGGCUCAACCGGGGAGGGUCAUUGGAAACUGGGAAACUUGAGUGCAGAAGAGGAGAGUGGAAUUCCAUGUGCAGCGGUGAAAUGCGUAGAGAUGUGGAGGAACACCAGUAGCGAAGGCGACUCUCUGGUCUGUAACUGACGCUGAGGAGCGAAAGCGUGGGGAGCGAACAGGAUUAGAUACCCGCGUAGUCCCUGUCUCUUAUAC
rnacentral:rRNA from 1 species